UAUAUAAAUUAUUAAUAUACGUUUACUGUAUGAUAGCUAACAAAUUAAAUAGCAAACUAACGUUAGCCUGCCUAGCUGGAACUUCUAAAGGAAAAAAAAAUAUUCCCAAAAGAUAACCAAACAAAAGCAUAUUUACUUUUUUCGAGACGUGUUUGUGCAGUCGUGUGCAUUAGUAGCACAAUUUCUAACUUAUUUGUAAUCGUUUUUACUUCUCCAUUAAUGUUGUGUUUAAGUUUUCGCGGACUUUUCUUAGUGGACGUACAAUCGUCGCGAAUUGAAUUAUGGUGAAUCUCAGGCCUCGGAGUGAACAUAAUUGUACACUUGCUAAGCCGACUAAAAACGAGGGCUGAGGGGUUUAUAUUGCAAACUUCCCUUGUUUGGCUAAUAAUUUGGACUACCCACCAAGAUGGCGACGGGGAUUCCCCCAAGGACAAAAGGCGAGGGUAAGUGGACGAGGGUGUGUCUUUUAAGUGUUUGGACCGAAAGUAAAUAUGUUUUUGUUUAAUUAUCUUUUGGAAAUUGUAGAAAUAAAACAUUUUCCUUCUACAGAUGUUCCAGCUAGGCAGGCUAACGUUAGUUAGCUAAUUAAUGUACUAGCUAUCAAACAGUAGGCGUAUAUUAAUAAUUUUUAUAUGUUUAAUAUAAGUAGACAUGCACUCAUAAUUGACUAAAGCGCAUAUAAAGCUACCGGUGGCUGAAAACACAAUCAUCUCGGGAUGAACGAGUGGCCAAUUUUCGGCCAAGGGCGGUCCAUUUUAAAAUCCUUCCUGCAAGUGUAUACUCGUCAGACGUAUGAAACGUCAUCAGAAGUGUCCACUUAAGUUGAGGGCGGAGGGGAUAGGGUGUGUCUUUUAAGCGUUUAGACCGUAAACUAGUGCCCAUAAUGAGUAUUUGUCGGAGGUUUAGAAAUCUCAGAAAUUGUCUAUAUUUUCCCGUUUCUUUCUGUCACCUUGUAAAUAUUUACUCAAAAACAAACCUGGAAAUAUAGAUAAUACAAUAUUGUGUAGAUAAACAUCAUUAUGGGAUAUGUAUGAAUGAAAAUAUAAAAACAGGCAUUAUAUAUGCUAGCCAUAAAGUUGUAAGGACCCAGCCGUAUAAAUUGAACGCACCCUCGUUCUUUAGGCCUUUCUCCGGUCAAGAUGCGAGCGAAGAAGAUAAGCGCAAAAAUGAAGAACGGUAUUAAAUGUUUUUAUGUCAUAAGUACAACCCAGAUGGGCUGGCAAUACGUGUUGAAAGUCAGCGAAUGUGGUUGAGAGGUUUCCCAAGUCACAAGAAGUGUGCAAGACUGAUGCAUCAGCCAACAUUGAAAUGCGUAUAGAAUAGCAAGCCGUCUUGGAUCGGGAAGGCCGUGUAAUCAAGGAAAAUGAAGGGCAGUUCCAAACAGGCGUCUAGCAUUUGUGUCGUCAGGCUCCCAGAGAGACUUGCUUCCAGCGUCCUGCCCAGAGGGAAGAAGAUAAUGGCUGGAUUUCAAACUCCUACAGAAUGAUGGAUGUUUUCUGUCGCAAGACUCCAACCCAUUGAUGACCAAAGUUAUACUUGGAUAAUGGACUAGAUGACGUCCCAGUGGUGUGCAUCUGAAACUGCAUCCGUUGAUGCGUUCUCAGGCUCCCAGAGAGACUUGCUUCCAGCGUCCUGUGUUGGAUGACUAUGGCUGAAUCCCAAUAAAAUGGCCACCGCCAACCCCGGCUGAGAAUGAUGGAUGGAAGAUGGUUACAUUCUGUUACCACACUCCAACUCUUUGAUGUCAAAUGAUACUUGGACAAUGGCGUUCAAGUGGUGUGCAUCUGAAACUGCAUCCGUUGAUGAGAGACUUGCUUCCAGCGUCCUGCCCUGAGGGAAGAAGAUAUGGCUGGAUCCCAAUGAGAUUGCAAACUCCUGCUGAGAAUGAUGGAUGUUUUCUGUCGCAAGACUCCAACCCAUUGAUGACCAAAGUUAUACUUGGAUAAUGGACUAGAUGACGUCCCAGUGGUGUGCAUCUGAAACUGCAUCCGUUGAUGCGUUCUCAGGCUCCCAGAGAGACUUGCUUCCAGCGUCCUGUGUUGGAUGACUAUGGCUGAAUCCCAAUAAAAUGGCCACCUCCAACCCCGACAGAGUUGGAUGGAAGAUGGAUACAUUCUGUUGCAAGGCUCCCUUGAUAUUUGGUCCCUGCUGCCUGAUGGGAAAUCUACUUGGCUGCCAUUGUGGCAAAGCAAGUUCUGCUGGAUGAGUGAAGGCCUAUUUAUUUCCAAUUUAAUACCCAUCUUUUGACUGAUCAAGGAGUACAUCAUCACUUGAGGUUUUGCAAUGUUGAGGUAUUCCCCUGCUGAGACUACAGAUGACACCAGGAUCACUUGAGGACAUUGACAGGACAGUCAGAACAAAAGAAAGACCGUUCUGCCUUGUAGCUAUGCCGUGGCUUUUGUGAUGAAUAUUCUAGUCCCUGAUUUACUAUGACACUCAUUGCAAUUUGUCAUAAGUUGUUCAUAUGCUACGUCAUUGUAACGUUGUGAAAAUGUUUCUUAGGACUUGAGGAUGAUGUCGAUGCUUGUUGAAGAGCUUCAGUCAUGAAACGACCUGCUAGCCAGGAGGCAUUUCAUUGUGUGGACUGUGUAUCCAUGGCUGUAUUUUGUGCCAAUGACGACUUUGGGGGAUCAAAUCAAAGUUAAUUUGUCAAGUAAUGUUGGUGGUGUUGUCUUUGGACUCCCUCCUACAGUUCCCCCAAGUAAAGUACUUUGACAACUGCUGAUGUUAAAAAAAAAAAAAAUAAUAAUAAAAAAAAAAAUAAUGUUUUGGAUAAUGAAUUUUAAAAUGCCACCAAUUAAAAGUAAUUUGUGAUUGCAGUAUUUGAAUAAAGAAUGAAUGGUCA